rnacentral:lncRNA from 1 species
AGGCAGCCUGACUAGAGAACAAACUACCAAUUAACGAGCGAGGAAACAGGGCCAGAGAAUUGGAACAAAAUACAAGGCUGCCUCUGAAAGGAAUAUCUUUGUGCUGAUGUGUCCAUCAAGAGAACAUACACAGAAGUGACACUUGCCAGUAAUUUGCAAGCAGAUGGAACUUCAAUAUGGCAAUAGAGAAAGAAUCAAUUAGACCAGAGUCUCCUCAGGAAGACUUUCUAUAGAUAUCUGGUGAGCAUCUGCUAGAUGCCAGGGUUGGGGAGAGUCAAGUUGAAGCAAGCAUGAACCCUCAAGGACCUACCAUUUCAAGGCAAGAAAUAGAUACAAAUACAGCGUAAUUAUCUCUCCAAUUAAAGAGCAACCAAGGGACAACUGAACUGGAGGUUCUGCAGAAUUACAACUAAGCACGCAGCCGAGGAAUCUACUCAGCUUUGAUCUCUUAUCGCUCUGCACACACAGCCCUUUCUCUGUAAGGCUAGCUGCUCUCAGCAUCACUGUGUCUAAUCAAACGUGUCACACCUCCACUGAGAAAAUAUUUACUGGAUAGCUACUAGACAUAAGGAUGCAGAAAUGAAUUAGAAAAAUUCCUCGCCCUUGUUCAAAGCUAUGCUGGCUCUUAGAACAUCUGAGCCCCCACUGUUUCAUCUUUAGAGGAUCCCAGCUGCUGGGGUGUGAGGCCAGUGCUGGAGCCAGCAGUCUCUGACCCAGAAGGGACCUGAGGUGCUAAAGAAAAUUCUGGAGGCUGAGAAGUCCAAAACCAAGUCACCAGCAGAUUCAGCGUCUGGGGUACAAGCUGGAAAAGGGGAAAAUGAAUCAUGCUACAGGCCAAGUGUCCAUCACUGAUUCCCAGAGAUGCCCUUUGUGUGGUAGGCACUUCCAUGUGGACUCGCUACAGAGGUCAUAAGACCCUAAUUCCAGAGGGCCCUACCCUAUAACCAGAAGGAAGAACUAUUGCACAGAGAAUCUAAGAAGAAUCUAGACAGACAGCCCUUGCUGGAUUUCUCCACUCUGUUAGCAUUCGAUCAUUUGCCUUUUGUCCAGUCAUAUUUCUGCAUGGCUGUCCAUACUUUGUUGAACCUAAGCACAAAAUGGAAAGUUUUCCCUGUAUCUUUGGGUCGUCAUUCUGAAGGCUCCCAUGUUAUGUAAAACUAUGAUCAAAUAAAUAUGCAUGCCUUUUCUCCUAUAA